GUGGGGAAUAUUGGUCAAUGGAGGCAACUCUGAACCAGCCAUGCCGCGUGCAGGAAGACGGCCCUCUGGGUUGUAAACUGCUUUUAUCCGGGAAUAAACCUGCCUUCGUGAAGGUAGCUGAAUGUACCGGAAGAAUAAGGAUCGGCUAACUCCGUGCCAGCAGCCGCGGUAAUACGGAGGAUCCAAGCGUUAUCCGGAUUUAUUGGGUUUAAAGGGUGCGUAGGCGGCCUGUUAAGUCAGGGGUGAAAGACGGUGGCUCAACCAUCGCAGUGCCCUUGAUACUGAUGGGCUUGAAUGGACUAGAGGUAGGCGGAAUGUGACAAGUAGCGGUGAAAUGCAUAGAUAUGUCACAGAACACCGAUUGCGAAGGCAGCUUACUAUGGUCCUAUUGACGCUGAGGCACGAAAGCGUGGGGAUCGAACAGGAUUAGAAACCCCGGUAGUCC
rnacentral:rRNA from 1 species